UAGGGAAUCUUCCACAAUGGACGCAAGUCUGAUGGAGCAACGCCGCGUGAGUGAAGAAGGGUUUCGGCUCGUAAAGCUCUGUUGUUAAAGAAGAACGUGGGUAAGAGUAACUGUUUACCCAGUGACGGUAUCUAACCAGAAAGCCACGGCUAACUACGUGGCAG
rnacentral:rRNA from 1 species